rnacentral:rRNA from 1 species
GCAGUCGAGCGGUAACAGGGGGUGCUUGCACCCCGCUGACGAGCGGCGGACGGGUGAGUAAUGCUUAGGAAUCUGCCCAGUAGUGGGGGAUAGCCCGGGGAAACCCGGAUUAAUACCGCAUACGUCCUACGGGAGAAAGCAGGGGAUCUUCGGACCUUGCGCUACUGGAUGAGCCUAAGUCGGAUUAGCUAGUUGGUGGGGUAAAGGCCUACCGAGGCGACGAUCCGUAGCUGGUCUGAGAGGAUGAUCAGCCACAUCGGGACUGAGACACGGCCCGAACUCCUACGGGAGGCAGCAGUGGGGAAUAUUGGACAAUGGGGGCAACCCUGAUCCAGCCAUGCCGCGUGUGUGAAGAAGGCUUUCGGGUUGUAAAGCACUUUCAGCGAGGAGGAAGGCUCUGAAGUUAAUACCUUCAGGGAUUGACGUUACUCGCAGAAGAAGCACCGGCUAACUCCGUGCCAGCAGCCGCGGUAAUACGAGGGUGCAAGCGUUAAUCGGAAUUACUGGGCGUAAAGCGCGCGUAGGUGGUUAGGUAAGCGAGAUGUGAAAGCCCCGGGCUUAACCUGGGAACGGCAUUUCGAACUGUCUGACUAGAGUGUGGUAGAGGGUAGUGGAAUUUCCUGUGUAGCGGUGAAAUGCGUAGAUAUAGGAAGGAACACCAGUGGCGAAGGCGGCUACCUGGACCAACACUGACACUGAGGUGCGAAAGCGUGGGGAGCAAACAGGAUUAGAUACCCUGGUAGUCCACGCCGUAAACGAUGUCAACUAGCCGUUGGGACUCUUGAAGUCUUAGUGGCGCAGCUAACGCACUAAGUUGACCGCCUGGGGAGUACGGCCGCAAGGUUAAAACUCAAAUGAAUUGACGGGGGCCCGCACAAGCGGUGGAGCAUGUGGUUUAAUUCGACGCAACGCGAAGAACCUUACCUGGCCUUGACAUCCAGAGAACUUUCCAGAGAUGGAUUGGUGCCUUCGGGAACUCUGAGACAGGUGCUGCAUGGCCGUCGUCAGCUCGUGUCGUGAGAUGUUGGGUUAAGUCCCGUAACGAGCGCAACCCCUAUCCCUGGUUGCUAGCAGGUAAUGCUGAGAACUCCAGGGAGACUGCCGGUGACAAACCGGAGGAAGGUGGGGAUGACGUCAGGUCAUCAUGGCCCUUACGGCCAGGGCUACACACGUGCUACAAUGGCGCGUACAGAGGGCUGCCAACUCGCGAGAGUGCGCCAAUCCCUUAAAACGCGUCGUAGUCCGGAUCGGAGUCUGCAACUCGACUCCGUGAAGUCGGAAUCGCUAGUAAUCGCGAAUCAGAAUGUCGCGGUGAAUACGUUCCCGGGCCUUGUACACACCGCCCGUCACACCAUGGGAGUGGAUUGCACCAGAAGUAGUUAGUCUAACCUUCGGGAGGAC